CCUACGGGUGGCUGCAGUGGGGAAUAUUGGACAAUGGGCGAAAGCCUGAUCCAGCCAUGCCGCGUGUGUGAAGAAGGCCUUCGGGUUGUAAAGCACUUUCAGUGGGGAAGAAAGCCUUGGGGCUAAUACCCUCGAGGAAGGACAUCACCCACAGAAGAAGCACCGGCUAACUCCGUGCCAGCAGCCGCGGUAAUACGGAGGGGGCGAGCGUUAAUCGGAAUUACUGGGCGUAAAGCGCGCGUAGGCGGUCUGAUAAGCCGGUUGUGAAAGCCCCGGGCUCAACCUGGGAACGGCAUCCGGAACUGUCAGGCUAGAGUGCAGGAGAGGAAGGUAGAAUUCCCGGUGUAGCGGUGAAAUGCGUAGAGAUCGGGAGGAAUACCAGUGGCGAAGGCGGCCUUCUGGACUGACACUGACGCUGAGGUGCGAAAGCGUGGGUAGCAAACAGGAUUAGAUACCCGAGUAGUC
rnacentral:rRNA from 1 species